rnacentral:rRNA from 1 species
CGGAGGGUGCAAGCGUUAUCCGGAUUCACUGGGUUUAAAGGGUGCGUAGGUGGGUUGGUAAGUCAGUGGUGAAAUCUCCGUGCUUAACAUGGAAACUGCCAUUGAUACUACUGAUCUUGAAUUUUCAGGAGGUAAGCGGAAUAUGUCAUGUAGCGGUGAAAUGCUUAGAUAUGACAUAGAACAGCAAUUGCGAAGGCAGCUUACUACAGGAAUAUUGACACUGAUGCACGAAAGCGUGGGGAUCAAACAGGAUUAGAUACCCUGGUAGUCCACGCCCUAAACGAUGGAUACUCGACAUUUGUGAUACACAAUAAGUGUCUGAGCGAAAGCAUUAAGUAUCCCACCUGGGAAGUACGACCGCAAGGUUG